UACGAAGGGCGCAAGCGUUACUCGGAAUUACUGGGCGUAAAGCGUGCGUAGGCGGUUCGUUAAGUCUGAUGUGAAAGCCCUGGGCUCAACCUGGGAAUGGCAUUGGAAACUGGCGACCUAGAGUGCGGUAGAGGGUAGUGGAAUUCCCGGUGUAGCAGUGAAAUGCGUAGAGAUCGGGAGGAACAUCUGUGGCGAAGGCGACUACCUGGACCAGCACUGACACUGAGGCACGAAAGCGUGGGGAGCAAACAGG
rnacentral:rRNA from 1 species